ensembl:lncRNA ERICH3-AS1 ERICH3 antisense RNA 1
AACAUUCUCAAAGCUUUCGUCUAUUGGCAUCGGCUUGGUCUCCACAUCUGCUUUUGUUAUUUCUUGGUCUUCAAUUUCAAUUUCUAAGGAUUCCUCAAUUGGAAGUUCCAUUUGGCAGCUGUACCGAUGGCUGUAGCAGCUAAUGCAGAGUUUAAGAUAAAAAAUACCUGUCUUUGCGCUUAUCCUCUUCUCUCCAUGCCUCCAGCCCUGCCGGCUCUCCAUGACAGGUCUUAGCAUUUUAAAUAUAGUCUCAGAGACAUAUCAGAGUUUCCACAAAGAUUUGAGAGAUGCUACACAGCAGUAAAAAACAAACUCAAAAAGCCUUUCAGCAACAGAGCCCCUGAAGUCUAAUUCCAUUUGCUUUUAUCUCCUGAUACCUUGACAAACACCAGAUGACCACUAUUUUUCAAAUAAAUCACAUACUCUAGC